GACGAACGCUGGCGGCGUGCUUAACACAUGCAAGUCGAACGGAAAGGCCCUGCUUUUGUGGGGUGCUCGAGUGGCGAACGGGUGAGUAACACGUGAGUAACCUGCCCUUGACUUUGGGAUAACUUCAGGAAACUGGGGCUAAUACCGGAUAGGAGCUCCUGCUGCAUGGUGGGGGUUGGAAAGUUUCGGCGGUUGGGGAUGGACUCGCGGCUUAUCAGCUUGUUGGUGGGGUAGUGGCUUACCAAGGCUUUGACGGGUAGCCGGCCUGAGAGGGUGACCGGCCACAUUGGGACUAAGAUACGGCCCAGACUCCUACGGGAGGCAGCAGUGGGGAAUAUUGCACAAUGGGCGGAAGCCUGAUGCAGCAACGCCGCGUGCGGGAUGACGGCCUUCGGGUUGUGAACCGCUUUCGCCUGUGACGAAGCGUGAGUGACGGUAAUGGGUAAAGAAGCACCGGCUAACUACGU
rnacentral:rRNA from 1 species